GAUCAUGGCCCAUACUUUUCAAUUCUCUGUCCACCUGCAGCCGACUCCACUUUAUGUACUGACUCCACAAAUGUGGAGCCCCUGACCUCAGGCUGGUUACAGCCCAAUGAAGAAACACAGCAACAGCCUUACAACACAACACAAGCCAUGGAGAGAGGCCCUGUAAGGCUCCCAAGCUCAAAACUCAUAGCCCAAGCUUUGACCAAGAGGUGAAAUUUAUUCUUGCCAUUAACCAAAUGUUAUGGGAACAGCCAGAACAACCUGAAUAGCAGGAGGCGGAGAAGAUCCUAGCACUUCCCUAAACCAUUCAUUUGUGAGCAAUUUCAAAUAAUGACCAAUUUUCCUGGGGAGAGGGGUAAACGAGAAGAAAAACCAAGUCCAAAGGUCUUAAUUCUGAGGGGAUGAAGAGGCUUGGCCUGUGUGGACAGAUAGUGUGCUUUCAUGGAAAGGCAAGACUUUUCUUUGAGAUAUACAGGAUUGGAAGCAGGGAAGAGGCUAAAGAUGUAGGCUGGGGAGGAGUGGAGUGGGAAGCAAUUCUCUGUCCUCCCUAUAGGCCUUCCUUUGUGGAAAAGAUCACUUAUAGAGAUUGGAAUGGCUACAGGAAAUAGAGACUGGGAUUCUGUUGAAAAACUGGAUAGGGAUGGCGACUGUCCCUUUGUCUCUGAGCUAGAGGUGGCAGUGGAAUAGCCUGUAUCCCUGAGACUUGGAUGCCAAGGUUCCAGGGGGACCUGAAGGUCAAGUGGACACAACGGGAGCAGCAUUUGUGCCACAUUGUCUCCCCAGUGCCAUGUCUAAGCAGGUGCCCACCAGAUGAGAGAACCCUGCAGGGGGCUAUAGGGAUCGUAUUAUGAAAACUGUGUUGGAUCCAACUGUGUUGGAUCAACAGCCAGGAUGAGUUUGCUUCACACUCACAGGUGAGGGUGAGCUUUGUCCUGUUCUGGAAAAGUCACCUUCUGGAACUACCUUACCUUUUCAUGGAAUCUGCAGUCUCUUGCAUAUAUGGAUCACUAGUGCUUCAUUUAAAGUGGAGUUCUUUCAUUUUGCUGCAGUCACUUACUAAAAACACACACUGGAAUCCAGUAUUGUACCCAAUCUUGGGCAAUAAACAUAAUAAUAUAAAUAUAUUAUAUAAAUGCAAUAAAUAAUAUGGGACUAAAGGCACUGUCCAAAUGCCCUUUAAAAUUUAUUUCAUUUCCUCCUCUAAAAGGAAGGUUUUUGAACUUUAAAAUCCUUGGAUAUGAUGGGUCACCUGGGUGGCUCAGUUGGCCCAGCAUAGGAGUUCCACUCAAGUCAUAAUUUCAUGGUUUGUGGGAUCGAGCCUCACAUAAAGCUUUUUGCACUGACAAUGCAGAGCCUGCUUCAGAUUCUCUGUCUCCCUCUCUCUGCCUCUCCCCUGUUCACACUCCCUCUCUCAAAAAUAAAUAAACAUUAAAAAAAAUCCUUGGAGAUUACCUGGUGUAAUUCCUCAGAGCAAUCCCAAAUGGUUUUGAAAGAGUCAUUAUUUCUCUCAUGCAGUGAACAUACUAUGUUUUUACUUAGGAAGAAGAAGAAAAAAUGUUUACAGUCUCACUUUGAACUUUAAAAAAUUCCUUUAACAAUUAGCUCUUGAUUCAGAAAUUAUAAAUAAAACUGUUUUAUCAUCCAAUGUUACUGAAACAUUGUGUCCUGUGAGUUUUAGUCUGUAUUGUUCCAGGAAUUUAAUUUUUAUUUUGCACUCUUUUGUAAAAAAAAAAAAAAAAAAAAAAAAAAAAAAAGCUUAUAAAUCCAAAGCCUAAAUAUUUAUUGUCCUACACCAAUUGCUCUGAUCUCCACUGUGCCUCCAAAUUUUUCAUUUAUCGAUAGAUGAGAUGGAUUUGCUGUGCUUUUUUAGUGGACAAUACCAAAUAACACCUGGAUCUGAAACUGAUCCUGACUGUAAUUUUGAAAGGCAUAUAAAGGCUUGAAGCUUCAAUGUCUUUAGCUGUAAGAUGGACAUAAUAAAAGUACCUAACUUGUAGAGCUGUUAUGGGAUUUAUAUGAGAGAAUGAAUGUAAAGUCUGGUGUGGCAGAGAAUACUAUAUAAUUCACCAUUUCUGUUUCGUCUUCAUGAACGUGAGACAUAUUUUCAACCUUCCUUGUACUGGUUUGGGGCUAUGUGACUGGGCUCUGGCUUGGGCUAUUUCCAGCCCUGGCUACCCAGCCUGGCUACCAUAGAGGACCUAUGUCCCAAGUCAUGUAUUAAACACAGGAUAGUGCCCUAAACCACAUAGGACUUUAUGUAAGCAAGAAACCAACCUUUAUUUGUAAAGAUUUAGGGUUUCUUUGUUACUGCAACAUUGCCUGGACUACCCUGACUAAUACACUUGAGAUAGAUAGAUAGAUAGAUAGAUCACAGUAAAUGAAUUUCAGCAUUUAAGUUAUCUGUGAACCAGUAUGGAACAAUUCCUUGGAUAUAUUUUAUUAAGAAAAAAAUCUAGACAAAGAACAAGAAUAUAUAGUAUUCAUUUUGUGUAAGAAAGAAGGGGCAAUUAAAAUAUAUAUUUGACUCGAAUAACACAGUUUGAACUGCAUGGGCCCACUUAUACAUGGAUUUGUUUUCUAUAAAUACAGUACAGUAUAGUAAAUCUAUUUUCUCUUCCUUAUGAUUUUCUUAAUAACCUUUUCUCUAGCUUACUUUUUAAUAGGAAUAUAGUAUAUAAUGCUUAUUAUAGUAAGGUAUUAAUAGUUAAGUUUUGGAGGAGUCAAAAGUUGUAUAUGGAUUUUCAACUACACGGGGGGUCAGUGCCCCUAACCCUCGUGUUGUUCAAGGAUCAACUAUAUCUAUGUAUUUGCUAAUUUUGGCAAAAAGAAAUACCAGAAAGGAGAAACCAGAAAUUAAUGAAAAUGAAACAGAGUGGAGAGGAUAAUGCAUGGGAGUGAGGCUUCUGUGACUAAAUGUGUUGAUACAGUGUUGAUUUUUGAAGCAUGUAUUUUAUAUACUCUGAAACAAAAGUACAACAAAAGGGAAAUGCCUUAAGCCUGGACCUUAAAAGAAACUAAUGACCUAAUUCUAUAUAAAAUUAGUUACUGAACCAACAAUGAACAAGAAAGUUAUUUUGGGUAAUUUGAACACACCACUCUCACUAUAAAUACAUUAAUAUUAUUGGGAACCAAGAAUUUUCAAUAUGAAAGAGAAAAGAUAAAAUAUAAAAAGCAUUUUAAGAAAAAUGCUAUUUAAUAAUGCCAAUAACAAUAUGAACACACACACACACAUAUAUAUAUACACACACACACAUACACACACACACACACACACACACUCCUAGUUGUGUUCCUGAAGAGCCCAGAGGCAAUGGCAUCAUAGUAUAGUAGCAGUGGGCACAGCUAGGCCCCAUAUCUUGCAACUUCUGAUGUAAUAAUUGGUUCAGGCAAGAAUAAUCAAUGAGUAGUAAAACCAUCACAUAAAAAGUAGUUAGGAACACCUGGGUGGCUCAGUUGUUAAGCAUUUGACUUCAGCUCAGGUCAUGAGCUCACGGUUCAUGACUUUGAGUCCCACAUCGGGUGAGCAUGAGCUCUGCUGGGUAAAACACGAGCCCAGCAGUUUCCCGGGUAGAAGAAAUUUGAUGCCAAUUCUGCACACCCAAAUUCCUGGCAGAUUAAUCAGCAAGUAGUACAGAGAGCUGCUUUCUUUAAAAAGCUUCAUUUAUCACUCAAACUGUGAAUGCUGAGAUGCCAAGGCACUGUGGAAAAAUGAUCCUUUAGAGAGGAAAAAAUCCUCCUGAAAAAGAAGCUGGGACCUAUGAGCUCCAAGAAUUGUGCUCAUUGCAGCGUCUUGCUUGUUUUGUUUAAAUUGUAUCUUCAGAGGACAAGGUCUAAGAAAUAACUUUUUUUGGCAUAAGUGACUUCAGAAUGAAAAAUUUUAAAUAUGUAAUUGGAAUGGUUUCAAGAUGACUUAAUUAUUAGUAAAUAGCUAACAUCUGUAUCUCAGAUAUUGUUUUGUGGAAGGAGAAGAUGAACUUGCUUGCUAACAGGCCAACUAAAAUAAAAUUGGGAGGAUGGCAGUGUGCACCCCAAAAAUAUGUUACCAAAAAAUUAUUUACUGGGGUGCCUGGGUUGCUCAGUCAGUUAAGUGUCCAACUUAGGCUCAGGUUAUGAUCUCACAGUUUGUGAAUUCGAGCCCUGCAUUGGGCUCUGUGCUGACAGCUCGGAGCCUGGAGCUUGCUUCAGAUUCCGUGUCUCCCUCUCUCUCUGCCCCUCCUCUGCUUGUGCUCUGUCUGUCUUUCUCUCUCUCUCAAAAAUAAAUAAACAUUAAAAAAACAAAAAAAAAUUAUUUACUAAGGCUAGGAGUCUUGGAGAAGGGAUUCUUUUUUUCCAAUUUGUAUUUACUUUAGAAUCCUGGCUCCUGAACCAAGUUCCCUUUUGCUGAAAGUUAAUACAAUAUAAAGGAGAGCUGUAGGCUGUGAAAAACAAUUGUGUAGGAAGUUGUAAGGCCCAGGGUUGAGAGACUGGCAGACAGCAGUGUAUCAGUCAGGCUCUAAGUAGGAAAACAGAAACCACUCUAAGUAUUUGGACAGAGGGAAUCCAACGCAGGGAAUCUGUGACACACUCAGAGACCAGCAUCAGAGAAAGCCACUGCCAAAUGUCAUCAGAUACAGCUUUUAAAAUAAUGUUCAAGGAGGGGUGCCUAGAUGGCCCAGUCAGCUAAGCAUCUGUCUUCAGCUUGGGUCAUGAUCUCAUGAUUCAUGGAUUUGAACCCCACAUUGGGUUCACUGCUGUCAGUGCAGUGCCUCCUUUGGAUCCUCUGUCUCCUUCUCUCUCUGCCCCUCCCUCACACACUCUUUCUCUCUCCCUCCCUCUCUCUCUCUCUAUCCCUUCCUCUCUCCCUCCCUCCCUCUCUCAAAGAUAGGGAUCCUCUGUCUCCUUCUCUCUCUGCCCCUCCCUCACACACUCUUUCUCUCUCCCUCCCUCUCUCUCUCUCUAUCCCUCCCUCUCCCUCCCUCUCUCAAAGAUAAAUAAAUAUUUAAAAAUUAAUAAAUAAAAUAAUGUUCAAGGAAAGUAAAGACAAAUUUGAGAACUUGGCAUACUAUAAAAAAGAAAACAAAUGGAAAGUCUCAAACUGAAAAACAGACUAUCUAUUUAAUGGCAGAUUACACAGCUAACGAGAGACUUAGUGAACUAAAAUAUAAGUUAUAUCCAGAAUGAAGCCUGGGCAGGGAGUCGGGGACGGAGGGAUGGAAAUGGCAGGUUAAUAGACAUAGGAGAUAUGGUGAUAAGGUCUAACAUGCCUUUAUUGGAGUCACAGAAGGAAACAGAAAGCGAAGGGAUUAGAGAUAACAUUUGGGCACACAAACAGCUGAGAAUUUACCAAAACUGAAGAUACAAAUCCACAAAUUUAAAAGCCCAAAGAAUCUGAAGCAGCAUUACUAGGGGAAAAAUCCACAUCCAAACAUAACAUAGUAAAACUGGAAUAAAUCAAAGACACAGAAAAAAACUUAACAAUGCAUUAAACAGGAGGAUGAGCAGCUGACUGCUCACCAGCCAGUGUGGCAGUCAGAAAUUGGUGGCUUGAUGCCUCCAAUGUGACAAAAGGAUAUGACACUCAACUUAGAAUUAUAUUCCUAGAAAAAAAUAUCUUUUAAGAAUGAAAGUGGAAUAAAGCUAUGUUUAGGCAAACAAAAAUUGGAAGGUGUUAGUUACCAUUAACAGGAUAGAAUGUCAUACAGUAUAUUUUUUGAGACAGAAGGAAAAUAACCCCACAUGGGAAGUUGAAGAGGCAGAGAAAAAAAUAGUAAAUAUGUGGAUAAAUCUCAAUAACUAUUUGGUAUAGAGAACAAUAAUAAUGCAUUUCGACACGUAUCUGUAUACUUUAUAUAUACAUAAUUAAAUUCACAAAAACAAUAGCAUAUAAAAUGAGACAUAAAUGAGGUUACAGUAUUCUAAGAUCCUUUCAUUGUCUAGUAUGAAGAUAAAAUUCCAAUUAGAAUUAGGUUUUUGUAAAUCAAGAAUGGAUCUUCUAAUUCCUUGGCCAUUAAAAGAAGAGAAAAAGUGUAUAACUUCCAAACCAAUAGAAGGAAAGCCUGAAUAAUAGGCUAAUUGUAGUAGAAUCCUAACAGAAUUCUAACCCGAUCUUUAAGCAAAAGGCAUUACUACAGAUAGAGGCUUACUUCAUAAAAUUUCAAUUCACCAGGAAGAUAUGACAAUUCUAUAUAUUUUUAAAUUGUUUUAAUGUUUUAUUUUUAUUUUUGAGAGAAAGAGACCUAUACAGAGAGGGAGACCUAGACUCUGAAGCAGGCUCCAGGCUCUGAGCUGUCAGUGCAGAGACGGACCUGGGGCUUGAACCCACAAACUGUGAGAUCAUGACCUGAGCUGAAGUCAGACAGUUAACCAACUGAACCACCUAGGUGCCCCGACAAUUCCAUAUUUGCAUGCAUCUGGUAACAUGGCCUCAAAUAUAUAAAGUAAAAUUCAUAGAACUAUAAGUAGAAAUGUAUAACUCAACAAUUACUUCAUUAAUUGAUAGAACAAGCAGAUAAAAAUCCAUUAAGAGCUGAGAAGAUCUGAACAAUACAUUACAAACUUGAUCAAAUGGCUUUAUCUAGAUCAGUGCACCCAGCAUCUCCAGAACACAUUCUUUUCGAGUGCCAGUGGAAACCUCACUGAGAUCAAACAUGUGCUGGGCCAUAAGCAAAUCUCAACAAAUUUCAAAGGACAACAAUCAUACAGUCUGUUUUCUGACCAUAAUGCAAUCAUAAACUAUAACUAGGAAGUCCUUGUACAUUUAAAGUUUUUAAAGUACGUUUCUAAAUAAUCUAUGGCAUCUGUUGUGACUUUGUGCUUUCUGUUUUUUCUUCUUUAUUACAUCAGAGAUUUGUCAAUUUUAGCAUUCUUUCCAAAAUACUAACCUUGACUUUUGAUCCUUUCUAUUGUGUUGUUCUCAGUUUCAUUAAUUUUUGCUCUUGUUUUUGUUAUCUCCUUCCUUUAACUUAAAAAAAAAAGACAGAAUUUAAAAAACAGAUCAUUAGUAAAUUUAAUAAUAAUGUUUCUAUAGAGAUUUGCAAAAUGCAAAAUGCUUUUUCAUGAAUCCUUAAAGCAACCCUAUGAGUUGGGUCUUUCCCCUCAUUUUACAGAUGGGAAAAUUAUAGACUGGAAAAGAAAUAAAUUAUAAUUGUUGCAUUCACUGGAAUACUGGCCCUAAGGUUUACAUCCAAGACCAGAGGAAUUUCUCCUGCUCUCCUCCAGGGCUUUGCCCUGUCAACUCCAGGACCUCCUCUUAGCCUUUGAGAUCUUAAGGGACACUCACCCCCAAACAUCCAUGGUUACGAUGGUAGAGGCUUGGCUCCCACCAACCCUUUCUGCAUUAAUCUCUAGUCCAUCUAUUUCUAGGAAAACACAGGGAGGUGGGGGGGAGCAAAAUGCAUAUAGAUGAGUGGGCAGGCUGCCUAAGCUGGAGAAGCAAGUGUGAAGCAGCCUUUGUCCUACCCAACACUCUUAGUCACUGGAGUAGAGCUGGAGGCUUCUUCUGCUGACCCCUUUUCCAGCUUGAAAAAGCAAAGCAUGCUUGCUUAGAAACAAUGGAUUGCUUGCUUAGAAGCAAGAUACUGCUGACUAACCAAAUCCAAUCAUUUUUCUGGAAUCUCAUCGUAGGUUGCAUCUGUGUGUGGGCUGGUCCUAGGGAGAUUUUCUUGGCUUUCAGAUGGGCUGCCUUCCACUACCUGAGCAUCCUGUUGCUGGAGUCCUGGGACCAGGGGCCACCACAUGGCGAGACUUUCUUCACACACCUUUAUGCUAAAGCUUCUCAUUCCAGGCACACUUCUGAGGGCUCUAAUAACACUAACUUCUCCAAGCCUCAUUACAAUCUAGGAGGUUGCUGCUAUUAUUAUUCCAAAAAGAGAUAGCUGAGGACACAUAACAUAAAACAGAAGACUUAAUUACUUGCCUAAAGUCAUCUGGGAGUAAGUGAAAGAAUCCUUAUUUGCAUCUGGGCUUCAUGGUUGAAAGAUCAUGUUUUGGUCACUACACUUUGUAGUCUCUCUACAAGGGAUUCACACAAACUCCUUCCUGAGCAUAACUGAUACUAUCCACAACCUGAGAAGAACGCCCAGGGCUAAAUGGGAACACUCAGUAGAAAGAAGAAUUGAGUUAAAAUUUGUGAUUUCCUUCUCCAUGUCUCCAUCCUGAAGCACUCAGCUGAGGCUGGAGAAAAAGCAUGAGAAACCUCCCAGCCCAAGUAAUCCCCUGGAAGCAAUUGUACCCAAUUUCUCAAAGUCCUGAUGCAGACUUCAGGUCCCCACUGUCUGUCCUCAUCUAACUGGUCCUCAGUUGACCCUCUCUCCUUUUUGAAUCCCAUGAACGAAAAGUUCCCUUGCAUUGCAUGACUGUGGUACUCAGUACCAUUUCACCCCUAGAGUCUCUAUACAUAAAUACAGAUGAAAUUAUUUUUCAAGCUUUCACUUUCAAAUUCACUAAUAGAAACAGAGAGUACAUGUCUAUGGAAGGCUUUUCCAUACUCACUGUUAAUUAAGGUUUCCCCUUCCUGCUUCCCCCCAGCUUCUCUCUCCUCUAUCUUCUUGCUUCUCCUCCUUCGAGUUCCCUGAAGACUGAACUCACUCCAUAGUCUUUCCCAAACUUCCCACAUGUAUAAGUUGUGAGACCUUUAGUAAGUUUUGGUAAGUUACAUUUUUUUUUGCAAUUUUUUCAUUUCACAUUAAUAUUUAUAACUUAUUGUAAUGAAAUUGUAAUAUCUUACUGUUUUAAUACUGGUAGCAUUUAUAACAUCAAACUUUAGAAACUCUGAGACUUCAUGGGGCGCCUGGGUGGUUCAGUCAGUUAGGUGGCUGGCUUUGGCCCAGGUCAUGAUCUCACAGCUCAAAUGAAGGCUCCUGAGUUCAGGCCUGCAUCAGGCUCUGUGCUGACAGCUUAGAGCCUGGAGCCUGCUUUAUUCUGUGUCUCCCUCUGUCUCUGCCCCUCCCCUGCUUUCCCUCUCUCUCCUAAAAAUAAACAUUAAGAAAAAAAAAUUAAAAAAAAAAAUAAUUCUCUGAGGCUUCAAGCUACAAAGGAAAUGGGUGCUUUAUUCAAAUGGUUGCAACAGGGAAAGUUCUUACAGGAACUGUUUCUCCAAACAUGGGAAUGAGAGGGGUUUUAUAGGGGAAAUAAACAAAAGCAAAUGUCCACAGCAGUUUUGGUGAGCUUUGGUCAUGUAGGUGUCACAAUCUUUCAGAAGUGAGUUGUGUUUCUUUGUGAUUUGGCUCAUCUUAUGUUAACAUUCUGUUCUCAUAAUUGUUGACUCAAGGAAUUUAGAGGGAGUGGGUUAUUCUCUCAGAAUCAGGGAGUCAGGGGGUCAGUGCAGAUUCAGAGAAGAAAAAUUUUGUAGUUCUCCUUAUUCCCCCCUUUUUAUUCCUGACUUUGGUUAUUUUUCUUUUUUCCUUAAUCAGUCUCACCAGAAGUUUGUCAGUUUUAUUGUUAGUCUUUUCCGAAAUACACAAACACACACACACACACAUUUGAUUUUGUUGAUCCUCUAUAUAUUGUAUAUUUGUUUUUCUCUUUCAUAAAUGUCUACCUUUUAUUACUUUCCUAUUUUAACACUUUUGGGAUUUAUUCUUAUUGUUCUGUUUGAGAUGGUGCUUAUGUGAUUAAUUACUAGGUUUUCUGAUUUUCUUAAAUAUCUUUUUAGGCUAUAAGUGUUUCUCUAAGCCCUGCUUAAGCAACAUCUCACUGGUCUUGAUAUGCAGUAUUCAGUUCAAAGUAUUUUCUUCCUUGGAACCAUGAUUAACAAAAGUAUUUAUAGGGGCACCUGGUUGGCUCAGUCAGUUGAGCAUUUGACUUCAGCUCAGGUCAUGACCUCACAUCUCAUUGAGUUCAACCCCCAUAUUGGGCUCACUGCUCUCAGUGCAGUGCCUGCUUGGAUCCUCUGCCCCCCUCUGUCUCUGUCCCUCCCCUGCUCAUACUCUCUCUCUCAAAAAUAAAUAAAACAUUAAAAAUUAUUUAUAAAUUUCUCAAUAUAAUGGGGACGUCCUAAGUAUCUUUUUAUUAUUAAUUUCUAAGUUAUACUCAAGGGAACAAAUUCUGUAUAUUUUCAGUUCUUUAAAAUUUGUUGAGGUUUACUUUAUGGUCCAGCAUAUGGUCAGUUUUUUUCCCCCAGCUUCACUGAGAUAAAAUUUAUAUGUAGCUCAUGUAGAUCAAUUUUUGAAAGUUUAAUGUGGGCUUGGAAAAAAAUAUGUAUCCUUAAUACAUCGGUGCAGUGUUCCAUGUAUAUAUCCAUUAGAUUGCUUGUUAAAUCAUAGUGUUAAAAUCUGUAACUUUACUAAUGUUUAGCAUUCUUGUCCUAUUAAUUACUGAGAGAGAGGUAUCAAAAAUCUCUCAUCGUGAUUAUGGAUUUUAUAUUUCUCCUUUCAGUUCUGCAUAUAUUUGCUAACUCUUGAGCUAUGGUAUUAGGUAGAUGCUAACUUACAACUGUAUGUCUUCCCAGCAUUUUCUCUUCCCUGGACUUUUGUCUUUUUUGAAAAAAAAAAUUUUUUUAACAUUUAUUCAUUUUUGAAAACAGACAGAGACAGAGUGCGAGCAGGGGAGGGGCAGAGAGACACAGAAUCUGAAGCAGGCUCCAGGUUCUGAGCUGUCAGCACAGAGCCUGACACGGGGCUCAAGCUCACAAAUCAUGAGACCAUGACCUAAGCCAAAGUCGAACGCUCAACCGACUGAGCCACCCAGGCACCCCACCUUUUGUCUUAAUGUAAUGAUUCCCUUUAUCUUCAGGAAUAUUUUGUGCCUUAAAGUAUGUAUUUCAUCUAAUAUUAGCAGAGCCACAGCAGUUUCUAUUGGUUACUAUUUCAAAUAACUUCCUCCCAUUCUUUUACUUUCAAAUGUUGUUAUGUCCUCAUAUUUAAGGUGAGUCUCUUGUAUGCAGCAUAGCAUGGGGUUUUAUGUUUUUGUCCUGUCUACUAUAGGGUGAAUGUUUGCAUUCCCCCAAGAUUCACAUUUGGAAUCCUAAUGCUCAGUGUCUGAGUGUUAGGAAGUUGGGUGUUUGUGAAGUUAUUAAGUCAUGGGAGUGGUGCCCUGAUGCAUUAGUGCUAUUACACUAGACACUCCCCCGCCACUUCCCAAUGAACUUCCUAGACCUUUCCACAAUGUGAGGGUACAAUUAGAAAUCUGAAAUUUGCAAGAGUCCUCACCCAACCAUGCUGAUCUCCAACCACUCUGAUCUUGGACUUCCAGCUUCUAGAACAGUGAGAAAUACAUUUCUGUUGUUGAUAAGCUACCCAGUCUGUAGCAUUUUGUUACAGUGGCCUGAACAGACCAAGACAUUGUCUGAAAAUCUUUGUUAUUUAAAUUAAAUGGAAAUAUUAACAUUUUGGCUUAAGAUCUACUUUUUUUCCCUUCUCCUACCCAUUUUUUUACUUUCCUUUUAAUUUUUAAAAUUUCAUUUUUGCUUUACUAGUA